rnacentral:rRNA from 1 species
CGCGUAGGCGGCUUAACAAGUCGCAUGUGAAAUACCAGGGCUCAACCCUGGGGUGCCAUGCGAAACUGUUGGGCUUGAGUGCAGUAGAGGGAAGCGGAAUUCCUGGUGUAGCGGUAAAAUGCGUAGAGAUCAGGAGGAACACCGGUGGCGAAGGCGGCUUUCUGGGCUGCAACUGACGCUGAGGCGCGAAAGCGUGGGGAGCAAACAGGAUUAGAUACCCUGGUAGUCCACGCGGUAAACGAUGAUUACUAGGUGUGGGUAUCGCAGGAUAUCCGUGCCGGAGCAAAACGCAAUAAGUAAUCCGCCUGGGGAGUACGGCCGCAAGGUUGAA